UCCAGUCAUCACAAAUGUCCUCCUGCCACUAGAGUUAAACUUAAUUACAAAAACUGUCACCGUUGGCUCUCUCUCCCUCCCUUCUGUUCAGAUUCAACCCUUUACCAAAAUCUCUCUCUCUCUCUCUCUCUCUCUCUCUCUCUCUCUCCACAAACCCUUACCAUCCCAACCUCCUUGACCGCGACUCCUUGAGACCUUCCUCGACUUCUUCGACUCGGCGCCCUUCACCAUCGAUCUCUCCUUCGAGUGGAUCCUCGACUCCCGUGACUCCGACGCCGAUCAGUUCAAGCUCAUUGAUCGCGCCCUGCAGUUGGGAUUGGUGCUCCUCGAGGCCGGUAAGAGCUUGGCGAGACGACGAGCCUCCAAGAACAACUCCAUCUCCUGGGCUCUCCCUCAAGACCUCAGCAUCAAGGUCUUUUCCAUGCCCCAUACUCAAAGCAUAUGCUAUCCUGCAGCUACUUAUUCAAUGUUUAAUAAAUGUGCCAUGCGAAUAUUGACUUGACAACAGUUGUCCUAAAAGUUAACAAUGGAGUAGUUUCCACAAUGAUACACAAACAGGGAAAGCUCUUGAGUUGUGGCUCAAAAACUGAAGGAGGCAGAAAUUACCGAGCAAGACUUGCUUCUGGUUCGGCUUUCCUCUUCUAGUUGACCUCUCCUCCUCAGGCAACGAUGACUUCAGGAACUGGAAUGCCGACUUCGUCAAGGUUGACCAGGCCACCCUUUUUGAUCUCAUCCUAGUCCGUAUUACUACUUUAAUCCUAUUACUGCUAGUUUCUCGUUUAUCGUGGACAUUGAUACUCUUUAAUUCACUUAGGGUCUCAUGUAAUUUUAUAAGAAUUUUGUUGUUUGAUCAUGAAAAAUUGAUUAGGAUUGAUUUUCUUAGAUUUUAGGACAUUCGGUUCUCGAUGAAUUGUUGAAUAAAUUUCUUGAUAAUAGUUCAUAUGCAUAGCAUGAUUAGUGAUUUCGAUAUAUAUAUAUAUAUAUAUAUAUAUACACACACACACACCGCCGCAAAUUUUGUAGGAAUCUAGGAUAGUUUAGUUGUAUGUAAUUGAUGAGCACUAGUCCUUUGAUUUGUUGAGACAUGCAGUGUGAAAAUGUUGUUAUUAUGAUCAAUUAGGUUUGUUAUUAUGAUAUCACUUCAUUGCUUUGAAGCUUGAAUUUUCUUUUCAUGGGCAUCAGUUGGAAACUUUGUUGAAUACUGUAACAUAAGUGAAGGAAGAAAUAUGAGUCUGUACUGUAACUCUAGCAUGAUUUACAAUUAGUCAAUCAAUG